rnacentral:lncRNA from 1 species
UUGUUCCAUUUUAGGUAUUUAAAUAAUAGACUCAGGAAGCCUUCACUAACCUCUGAGGCUGCAUCAGAUCUUCCUGCGAACCAUUUGUACAGAAGUGUGGCUUUCAUUUAUAACAAUCAUGUAGCACAUGAUCACAUGUUUGUUUAUUUGGUUGAUUUCUGUUUCCCCAACACAGGAGACUGAAGUCUGUAUCUGAUAUGGUUCAUUGUUCCACAGUCUGAAUGAAGCACAGUGCUGUGUCAAUACUUAGAAAAAUCAUCCUGUUAUGAAGGAUGGGGAUAAGGAUAUGUUUUACUUCCAUCAACAUCAAAGCUGCAGAACUAUUCAAGUCUUUGAAUGAUUACCUAACAGGAAAACUGAAUUGGUUGUUUCGGCUCAGUAUACACAUGGAUGGAGCAGCUGCCAUGCCUGGAUGCCUUUCUGGUUUCACUACUUGCGCCAAACAGGGGAGAUUGACAACUGUGUUCAAGUCUGCAGAUAACGUGGAUGCAUUCAAAGCCAAACUGAAAUUGUGGAUGUGA